rnacentral:rRNA from 1 species
UGCCUACGGGACGCAGCAGUAGGGAAUCUUCCACAAUGGACGAAAGUCUGAUGGAGCAACGCCGCGUGAGUGAAGAAGGGUUUCGGCUCGUAAAGCUCUGUUGGUAGUGAAGAAGGAUAGAGGUAGUAACUGGCCUUUAUUUGACGGUAAUUACUUAGAAAGUCACGGCUAACUACGUGCCAGCAGCCGCGGUAAUACGUAGGUGGCAAACGUUGUCCGGAUUUAUUGGGCGUAAAGCGAGUGCAGGAGGGUUCA